UACGGGGGGGGCAAGCGUUGUUCGGAAUUACUGGGCGUAAAGGGCUCGUAGGUGGCCAACUAAGUCAGACGUGAAAUCCCUCAGCUUAACUGGGGAACUGCGUCUGAUACUGGAUGGCUUGAGUUUGGGAGAGGGAUGCGGAAUUCCAGGUGUAGCGGUGAAAUGCGUAGAUAUCUGGAGGAACACCGGUGGCGAAGGCGGCAUCCUGGACCGGUAUUGACGCUGAGGCGCGAAAGCUAGGGGAGCAAACGGG
rnacentral:rRNA from 1 species